rnacentral:rRNA from 1 species
UGGGGAAUAUUGGACAAUGGGCGAAAGCCUGAUCCAGCCAUGCCGCGUGAGUGAAGAAGGCCUUCGGGUUGUAAAGCUCUUAUAGUCGGAAAGAAAGAGUUGCAAUGAAUAAUUGUGAUUUAUGACGGUACCGACAGAAAAAGCACCGGCUAACUACGUGCCAGCAGCCGCGGUAAUACGUAGGGUGCGAGCGUUAAUCGGAAUUACUGGGCGUAAAGGGUGCGCAGGCGGUCUUGCAAGUCAGAUGUGAAAGCCCCGGGCUUAACCUGGGAAUUGCGUUUGAAACUACAAGGCUAGAGUGCAGCAGAGGGGAGUGGAAUUCCAUGUGUAGCAGUGAAAUGCGUAGAGAUGUGGAAGAACACCGAUGGCGAAGGCAGCUCCCUGGGUUGACACUGACGCUCAUGCACGAAAGCGUGGGGAGCAAACA